CAGGGGAACGUUAGCGAGGGUCUGGCAAAAACGGAUGUAGUGUUGGAGGUCUGGCAGAAAAGGAAGUGUUGGAGGCGGAGGAGGGCGCCGCCCCAGAAGCAGCCUGGGAAGUGUCCGAUCUAUUACGCUGUCUUGUAAAUAACCUCCUAUCCGCGGAGGGGCGCUCUCUCUGGCACGCUCGCUCCCACUCCCGGUCCCCAAAUCUCUCUCCCUCUCCUCUCUCCUGCUCCCGCUGCCGCUCCCUCCCACGCUGCCAGCUGAUCAACUGUUUUGCAACACCAGGGUUUGUUGACAGGCGGAAGAUUUAUCCCCUCCGCUCUCCUUCCUGACUCAGAAGAGAUUGCCGACCUGGAAGCUGCAGUGCCUCUGGGUCACUUGGUAAUUUAAAAUUGAUGACUUGGAAAGAGAAUGGAGAUAAAGAUGCUGUCCUGGGAUGUGUCCUUUUAUAGAGAGCGUUUGAGGACUUUCACCUGUGCGUGUCUGGACCGGCAUGUUGGCUGGCUGGGUGUUGAGCAACGGACGUGGCCCCCCCCAGGGAGUCGGUGCCAGGGCCUGCCUAACAGGAGAAUUUGGAGCUGCCACCCCCACUUGAGGCUGCUCAGGCUAGCCUGCUGGGGACAUGUGACCCAUCCACUAGCAAGUGCCAACUGCCGUCUUAGACCAGCCAGCCGCAUUCAAGUCACUAGAUGACCACAGCCACGUGAGUGACCCCACACAAAUGCAGCAGAGGAACCGUGCGACUGAUCCCGACCCAACUGGUGACCCACAAAAUCGAGGAGCGUGAGAGCGAGAGUGGGGUUUGACGCACCACGCGGGGCUGGCCGGCCUUGACUUCGCUCAUCUCCUGUUAACAGCUCAGGGUCAAAAUAGUGGCGGGGCACGGUUACAGAAAAGCUCCCUCUUCGUCUGCUCAGGCUCAGUAGAAAUCCUUGAUGUUGCGAAAGAUUAAAGCCAAACCGCCGGUCCUCCAGGGGUUGAGAAUGGAACGCACUACGGUCCUUGGUCUUCCGCGUGUCAAGCGUGGUUCUGGCAGGUGAAAGGAGCUGUGUCAGGUAAGGCAAAGCUGCGGUGACUGCAGACAGACAUGUGCAGAAAGAGGACAGAAGGGAAGCAAGGGUGACCAGUAUGUUCCCUUUGAAUGCCACAAAGGAUCACAUUAUAAGCUUGCAGAGGCGCUGGAUCGCUGUCUAGUCUGCAUUGACUGAAAUGUGAAACUUCCACGCGAAGAGGAGGAAAAAUCCCCCCGCCGUCUGAUAUUCUGCCUUGGAACGCUGUUAAGAACUACGUCUUUUUGGGGCGCCUGGGUGGUUCAGUCGGUGAAGCGUCCGACUUCGGCUCAGGGCACGAUCUCGCGGUCCGCGAGUUCGAGCCCCACAUCGGGCUCUGGGCUGACGGCUCGGAGCCUGGAGCCUGCUUCCCGUUCUGUG